rnacentral:lncRNA from 1 species
CUGUCUUAGUACCAAGUGAUCCAGCAUGGUAAGAAUAAAUGGAGAAAUAUGGAGACUGUGAAGUAGCAUUUGGGCAGUAGCAACAACAUUGGGGACGUCACAGCUUACAUUCCACUUUUUGCUAAGCUUUCCAUUGCUGCUUUACUAGGAGGAGGUAAAUUGUAUUUGCUUUGAGUCACAAAAUUUCAUGAGAAAAUUAUUAGUCUCAUUUUUACUAAAGUGUAAUGUUUAUUAAAACCUGGCCUUAAGUCAGGUUUUUUCACACUUAAAAGGGGGCUUUAGCCUAGAC